ACCGGUUGCGAACCCACAGCGCCGCGGAGGGAACGCCUGCGCCUCGGCCGGACACUAAGAGUUAAGAUGUGGCGGAGGGGGUGGCGGGGGAGGGGCGGAGAGGAGAAAGUGGCGAGGGGGAGGGAGGCGGGGGGGGGGGGGGGGGGGGGGCGACAGAUUUCCAGCUUCUACGACGCUCUGCCUAAAUUAAAAAGCAACCAAUCGGAACGGCCGGAAGGGGGGCCGCGCGUCCUGAGCCAGUCAUUCCGGGCCUGCCAAUCACCCAGCGGGUAGCCAAUCAGCGGGGGCCCUGGUGCUCGACUUCCUUGUAUUUGGGAAAGUGUGGUGGUGGGUGCGCGCUCGCGGCGGAGGGUAAACAUUCGACAGUCCCUGCUCUGAGAGGGAGGGACAGAGAGCGAACUGUCAGAUCCCUGCGAGAGCGGGCGGGCGAGCGAGGGAGAGGGAGUGAGAGAGAGAGAGAGAGAGAGGGAGGGAGAGGGAAAGUGAGAGAGGGAGAGAGCGCGAACGAGGGCGCAGAGCGAGCUCCCGCUGCAACUCCGCUCCGGCUCGGCCAGCGCCAGCGCCGUCGGUGCACUCUACGAGCCGUGCAACGUGCCCACUGGAGUUGGUUGUGUAUCAAGGAUCCCCUAUAUGCACACACACACCUCCACCUCCACCAAUGCACUCUUCUUCCUCCUCCUCCUCCAGACAACUGCUGGGAAAAAAAUAAAACACCAACCCCAACCGUCAGCAACAAGAGGCAACCAAGAGCUCCGGCAAUAGCAACUUCAGAGAAAUGCACCAUCGCAAGAAGUUUUCCUAGGACAGAACAAAACUUGAAACGAAAGGACCAGAGGAGGAGAGCAGGAGCCAGCCUCUCCUCUCCGCACACGCGAGCAGCCAGCAUCACCACGCCUUCAAGGACGGAAAAAAAGUUUUACUACUCUAAGGGAAAACGAGUGAAAUGUGUUCCUGAGGAGGAGAGAAGAGAGCGGGCAAGGGAAGCAGCGGUCCGGUUGCUGGUCACCCACAAUUUGGUUAAGGAAGAAAGGAACGGCUGCUUUCUUUGUUGUCUCCCGUGAAAUCUUCACUUAGCAGGUGGACUGAGCCCCGCGCCCGGGCAGAGUCCGCGCUCGGCGGAGGACGGCAAGAGGAGCGGGAGCCGGCGCGCCCCGCCAAAGAGCCCGGAGCGCAGGCCCGCGCCCUGCCCGGUGAGCCCCGCUGGAGCGAGCGGAACGCGCCGGGGCUGGGGGGCGGCCACGACCCCCCCUGAAGGGGGCGGCCACGGAGCGCGCCCCGAGAAGCGAGCCCCCCUCCCUAGAGCGCUGCUCCUGCUGCUCCUGCUGCUGCUGCUGCUGCUGCUGCUGACCAAGGCCGGCCGGCGACCCCCGCGCCCUGCCGAGCGGCCUUGCAGCUGCAGCCGGGGGCCGCGGCGGCGGCGGCGGCGGCGGCGGCGGGGGCGGAGGCGGCGGAGGAGGAGGCGGCGGCGAAGGCGGCGGGGCCGGCCGGGGCCCGGGGCGGGGGCGGGGGAGGAGGGGGGGGAGGAGGCGGGAGGCGGGGGGGCGCGGCGGCGGCGGCGGCGGCGGCCGCGGCUGCUGCUGCUGCGGCGGCGGCGGUGGUGGCGGCGGUGGGGUGGCGGGAGCGGAGCGGCAUGGCCACGGCGGCUUCUAACCCCUACCUGCCGGGGAACAGCCUGCUGGCGGCCGGCUCCAUUGUACACUCGGACGCGGCGGGAGCCGGCGGCGGCGGGGGCGGCGGCGGCGGGGGCGGCGGCGGCGGCGCGGGCGGCGGCGGGGGAGGCAUGCAGCCCGGCAGCGCCGCCGUGACCUCAGGCGCCUACCGAGGGGACCCGUCCUCCGUCAAGAUGGUCCAGAGCGACUUCAUGCAGGGGGCCAUGGCCGCCAGCAACGGCGGCCAUAUGCUAAGCCACG
ensembl:lncRNA